CAGCCGCCACGGUAAUACGAAGGGUGCAAGCGUUAAUCGGAAUUACUGGGCGUAAAGCGUGCGUAGGUGGUGGUUUAAGUCCGUUGUGAAAGCCCUGGGCUCAGCCUGGGAAUUGCAGUGGAUACUGGGUCACUAGAGUGUGGUAGAGGAUAGUGGAAUUUCCGGUGUAGCAGUGAAAUGCGUAGAGAUCGGAAGGAACAUCUGUGGCGAAGGCGACUAUCUGGGCCAACACUGACACUGAGGCACGAAAGCGUGGGGAGCGAACAGGAUUAGAUACCCCUGUAGUCCCUGUCUCUUAUAC
rnacentral:rRNA from 1 species